GAUGAACGCUAGCGGCAGGCCUAAUACAUGCAAGUCGAACGGGAUCCAGAUCAAAGCUUGCUUUGGUUUGGUGAGAGUGGCGCACGGGUGCGUAACGCGUGAGCAACCUACCCUUGUCAGGGGGAUAGCCCGGCGAAAGUCGGAUUAAUACCGCAUGACAUCAUUGAGAGGCAUCUUUCGAUGAUCAAAGAUUUAUCGGACAAGGAUGGGCUCGCGUGACAUUAGCUAGUUGGUAAGGUAACGGCUUACCAAGGCUACGAUGUCUAGGGGCUCUGAGAGGAGAAUCCCCCACACUGGUACUGAGACACGGACCAGACUCCUACGGGAGGCAGCAGUAAGGAAUAUUGGUCAAUGGACGGAAGUCUGAACCAGCCAUGCCGCGUGCAGGAAGACGGCCCUAUGGGUUGUAAACUGCUUUUAUACGGGAACAAACGUCGGUACGGGUACCAGUCUGAGUGUACCGGAAGAAUAAGGAUCGGCUAACUCCGUG
rnacentral:rRNA from 1 species